rnacentral:rRNA from 1 species
AUUGAACGCUGGCGGCAUGCCUUACACAUGCAAGUCGAACGGCAGCACGGGAGCAAUCCUGGUGGCGAGUGGCGAACGGGUGAGUAAUAUAUCGGAACGUGCCCAGUAGUGGGGGAUAACCCGGCGAAAGCCGGACUAAUACCGCAUACGACCUACGGGUGAAAGCAGGGGAUCGCAAGACCUUGCGCUAUCGGAGCGGCCGAUAUCAGAUUAGCUUGUUGGUGGGGUAAAAGCCCACCAAGGCGACGAUCUGUAGCUGGUCUGAGAGGACGACCAGCCACACUGGGACUGAGACACGGCCCAGACUCCUACGGGAGGCAGCAGUGGGGAAUUUUGGACAAUGGGCGCAAGCCUGAUCCAGCCAUGCCGCGUGCGGGAAGAAGGCCUUCGGUUGUAACCGCUUUGUCAGGGAAGAAACGGGACUCGGGCGUAAUACCUCGGGCUAAUGACGGUACC